rnacentral:rRNA from 1 species
CUGGCUCAGGAUGAACGCUGGCGGCGCGCUUAACACAUGCAAGUCGAACGAUUAAGGCACUUCGGUGCGUAUAGAGUGGCGAACGGGUGAGUAACACGUGACCAACCUGCCCCCUCCACCGGGACAACCUCGGGAAACCGAGGCUAAUACCGGAUACUCCGCCCAGGGCGCAUGCCCUAGGCGGGAAAGCCCAGACGGGAGGGGAUGGGGUCGCGGCCCAUUAGGUAGACGGCGGGGUAACGGCCCACCGUGCCGACGAUGGGUAGCCGGGCUGAGAGGCUGAUCGGCCACAUUGGGACUGAGACACGGCCCAGACUCCUACGGGAGGCAGCAGUGGGGAAUCUUGCGCAAUGGGGGAAACCCUGAACCGCAGCGACGCCGCGUGCGGGACGAAGGCCCUCGGGCUGUAAACCGCUUUCAGCAGGGAAGAAAUCUGACGGUACCUGCAGAAGAAGCCCCGGCUAACUACGUGCCAGCAGCUGC